ensembl:snRNA U6 U6 spliceosomal RNA
GUGCUCGCUUUGGCAGCACAUACACUAAAACUGGAACGAUACAGAGAAGAUUAGCAUGGCCCCUGCACGAGGACGAUGUGCAAAUUCACGAAACGUUCCGUAUUUUU